ACAAUGUACUGUAUAUGCCAUCUGAAACAAGAACCUUUUGUCAAAGUAGCCACCAUAUGAACUGAUUAUGAAGAGUAAUGUACCUGACAGCCGAUAAUACGAUACAGAAGUUGUUGUAAGGCUGGUAACUGUUCAAGCAACUCCGGCGUGUCUAAAUCUUUAGUUCUCUGCAUUAAAUGCAUUAAAAAUUUGUUUAAAUUUCAUAGAGAAGUUGUUGUAAGGCUGGUAACUGUUCAAGCAACUCCGGCGUGUCUAAAUCUUUAGUUCUCUGCAUUAAAUGCAUUAAAAAUAUAAGGAAAACUCAACAUUCGAUGUUUCACUGCACCUUAAGAUAAGAAGAUUUGUAAUGAAAGCAACUGGAUCCUCAUAAUAUAGAAGACCGUUAAUAUCCACAGAGAUGGGCCAUCUAAAUAUAAGGAGAUUUUUUUUUCUUUUUUUCAUGAAAAAUAAUAUGUAGGUAUGUGUGUGGAUACAUCCACA
rnacentral:lncRNA from 1 species